rnacentral:rRNA from 1 species
UAGUCCACGCUGUAAACGAUGAUCACUCGAUAUGCGUCUUCCGAGAUGCGUGUCCAAGCGAAAGCGUUAAGUGAUCCACCUGGGGAGUACGUUCGCAAGAAUAAAACUUAAGGGAAUUGAUGGGGUUUAGCACAAGCGGUGGAGCAUGUGAUUUAAUUCAAUACUACGUGAGGAACCUUACCUAGGCUAAAUGUAUAUUGACUCAUUCAGAAAUGAAUGUUUCCGAAAGGACAAUAUACAAGGUGCUGCAUGGCCGUCGUCAGUUCGUGCCGUGAGGUGUUUGGUUAAGUCCUAUAACGAACGCAACCCUCAUGCUUAGUUGCCAGCGCGUCACGGCGGGAACUUUAAGCAAACUGCCUGCGAAAGCAGUGAGGAAGGAGGGGACCAAGUCAGGUCAUCAUGGCCCUUAUGCCUAGGGCUAUACACGUGCUACAAUGGCAUGCACAGUGGGCAGCUACCUGGUAACAGGAUGCUAAUCUCUAAAACAU